GAGGAAGCAAACAGUUUUUAAAUGAAAUUUGGAGAUGAUAUUGAAGUGGGAAGGUCUGUAACCGUGAAGUCAGAGAGCUGAAAAACAUGGACAGAGAUAAAAGAACACUUGAGUUGAAGAAAUGCAAGAGUAAAUGUUCAGCAUUUUGUGUCAUGAUGAGAAUUUUAAUGAAUGCAAAAGAAAAGCAUUCGUGCAGGGUAAUGUCCAGUAUAUGAAUCAGUUGUAGCACUGUUGUGAACUCCAUGCCACCUGCCCCAACCAUGAAAUCAGAGCACCGGGAAGCAGAGAUGCGUGAGC